rnacentral:rRNA from 1 species
AUUGAACUCUUUCUUCAUGCUUUACACAUGCAAGUCGAACGGCAGCGCGGGCUUCGGCCUGGCGGCGAGUGGCGAACGGGUGAGUAAUGCAUCGGAACGUGCCCAGUAGUGGGGGAUAGCCCGGCGAAAGCCGGAUUAAUACCGCAUACGACCUGAGGGUGAAAGCGGGGGACCGAAAGGCCUCGCGCUAUUGGAGCGGCCGAUGUCGGAUUAGCUAGUUGGUGGGGUAAAGGCUUACCAAGGCGACGAUCCGUAGCUGGUCUGAGAGGACGACCAGCCACACUGGGACUGAGACACGGCCCAGACUCCUACGGGAGGCAGCAGUGGGGAAUUUUGGACAAUGGGGGCAACCCUGAUCCAGCCAUGCCGCGUGCGGGAAGAAGGCCUUCGGGUUGUAAACCGCUUUUGUUCGGGAAGAAAUCCUCUGGGCUAAUACCCCGGGGGGAUGACGGUACCGGAAGAAUAAGCACCGGCUAACUACGUG